rnacentral:misc_RNA from 1 species
GAUGAAGGACGCAGCGAAAUGCGAUAAGUAGUGUGAAUUGCAGAAUUCAGUGAAUCAUCGAAUCUUUGAACGCACAUUGCGCCCCUUGGUAUUCCAUGGGGCAUGCCUGUUCGAGCGUCAUUUGUACCUUCAAGCUCUGCUUGGUGUUGGGUGUUUGUCUCGCCUCUGCGUGUAGACUCGCCUUAAAACAAUUGGCAGCCGGCGUAUUGAUUUCGGAGCGCAGUACAUCUCGCGCUUUGCACUCAUAACGACGACGUCCAAAAGUACAUUUUUACACUCUUGACCUCGGAUCAGGUAGGGAUACCCGCUGAACUUAAGCAUAUCAAUAAGCGGAGGA